rfam:Triticum urartu cultivar G1812 contig153814, whole genome shotgun sequence.
GUAGUACUCCCUCCGUCCCAAAAUUCUUGUCUUAAAUUUGUCUAGAUACGGAUGUAUCUAAUACUAAAACGUGACUUGAUACAUCCGUAUUUAGACAAAUCUAAGACAAGAAUUUUGGGACGGAGGGAGUACUAU